UCGGUUUGAAACACAGACCUUAUGAACGCAGUUUUAGUAAAGCAGUCCUCAGUUCAAGCGCUAUCCGCAUAGAUACCUCUUCUUCUUGUGAGUCUUCUCCUAAGUGCCAAAUAAGAACUUUUCAAUAAGUAACUCUCUGAAGACGACCACAUUCGCCAAGUGAUUUUUUAAUCGCUGAUGGCUCAAAAAAUAAUUAAAGGAAGUAUCUAUGUCUAAUAAAAUGACUGGUUUAGUAAAAUGGUUUGACGCUGGUAAAGGUUUCGGUUUCAUCUCUCCUGAAGAUGGCAGCAAAGAUGUAUUCGUACAUUUCUCUGCAAUCCAGAGCAAUGAUUUCAAAACUCUUGAUGAAGGCCAAAAAGUUGAGUUCUCUAUCGAGAACGGCGCUAAAGGUCCAUCAGCAGUAAACGUUGUUGCGCUGUAAUAGCCAAUAACGCAUGCAGAAACGCUAAGUGACUGCAUAUCAAGAACCCGCCUAGUG
rnacentral:sRNA from 1 species